UGGGUUGUAUUUAAUUAUAAUAUCUGAUUUGCAUUCAGAAGGUGCUUUGGCAGUCUUCCUUA
rnacentral:tRNA from 1 species